rnacentral:rRNA from 1 species
CUGGUAGUCCACGCCGUAAACGGUGGGCGCCUAGUUGUGGGAACCUUCCACGGUUUCUGCGACGCAGCUAACGCAUUAAGCGCCCCGCCUGGGGAGUACGAUCGCAAGAUUAAAACUCAAAGGAAUUGACGGGGCCCCGCACAAGCAGCGGAGCAUGCGGCUUAAUUCGACGCAACGCGAAGAACCUUACCAAGGCUUGACAUAUACAGGAAUAUGGCAGAGAUGUCAUAGCGGUAAAACGUCUGUAUACAGGUGGUGCAUGGUUGUCGUCAGCUCGUGUCGUGAGAUGUUGGGUUAAGUCCCGCAACGAGCGCAACCCUCGUUCUGUGUUGCCAGCAUUUAGUUGGGGACUCACAGGAGACUGCCGGGGUUAACUCGGAGGAAGGUGGGGAUGACGUCAAAUCAUCAUGCCCCUUAUGUCUUGGGCUGCACGCAUGCUACAAUGGCUGGUACAAAGGGCUGCAAUACUGCAAAGUGGAGCGAAUCCCAAAAAGCCAGUCUCAGUUCGGAUUGGGGUCUGCAACUCGACCCCAUGAAGUCGGAGUUGCUAGUAAUCGUAGAUCAGCAACGCUACGGUGAAUACGUUCCCGGGGCUUGUACACACCGCCCGUCACAUCACGAAAGUCGGUAACACCCAAAGUCAGUGGCCCAACCGCAAGGAGGGAGCUGCCGAAGGUGGGAU